AUUGAACGCUGGCGGAAUGCUUUACACAUGCAGGUCGAACGGCAGCGCGGACUUCGGUCUGGUGGCGAGUGGCGAACGGGUGAGUAAUGUAUCGGAACGUGCCCAGUCGUGGGGGAUAACGUAGUGAAAAUUACGCUAAUACCGCAUACGAUCUAUGGAUGAAAGCGGGGGAUCGCAAGACCUCGCGCGAUUGGAGCGGCCGAUAUCAGAUUAGGUAGUUGGUGGGGUAAAGGCCCACCAAGCCAACGAUCUGUAGCUGGUCUGAGAGGACGACCAGCCACACUGGAACUGAGACACGGUCCAGACUCCUACGGGAGGCAGCAGUGGGGAAUUUUGGACAAUGGGCGAAAGCCUGAUCCAGCCAUUCCGCGUGCAGGAUGAAGGCCCUCGGGUUGUAAACUGCUUUUGUACAGAACGAAAAGGUUUCUACUAAUACUAGGAGCUCAUGACGGUACUGUAAGAAUAAGCACCGGCUAACUACGUGCCAGCAGCCGCGGUAA
rnacentral:rRNA from 1 species